CCUACGGGUGGCAGCAGUGGGGAAUAUUGGACAAUGGGCGAAAGCCUGAUCCAGCCAUGCCGCGUGUGUGAACAAGGCCUUCGGGUUGUAAAGCACUUUCAGUGGGGAAGAAAGCCUUGGGGCUAAUACCCUCGAGGAAGGACAUCACCCACAGAAGAAGCACCGGCUAACUCCGUGCCAGCAGCCGCGGUAAUACGGAGGGUGCGAGCGUUAAUCGGAAUUACUGGGCGUAAAGCGCGCGUAGGCGGUCUGAUAAGCCGGUUGUGAAAGCCCCGGGCUCAACCUGGGAACGGCAUCCGGAACUGUCAGGCUAGAGUGCAGGAGAGGAAGGUAGAAUUCCCGGUGUAGCGGUGAAAUGCGUAGAGAUCGGGAGGAAUACCAGUGGCGAAGGCGGCCUUCUGGACUGACACUGACGCUGAGGUGCGAAAGCGUGGGUAGCAAACAGGAUUAGAUACCCGAGUAGUC
rnacentral:rRNA from 1 species